rnacentral:misc_RNA from 1 species
UCUCCGUUGGUGAACCAGCGGAGGGAUCAUUACAGGACUCGCAAGACUCCUUCACCCUGUGAACCUCACUACAAGCACGUUGCUUCGGCGGGUGUCCCGGCGGGGGUUUGCCCUCGCCGGGGCGCACAGCCCGCCGGCAGCCUACUAUACUCUGUCUCUUUGCGUUGGCAUCUCGAGAAAAAACAAACAAGUUAAAACUUUCAACAACGGAUCUCUUGGUUCUG